AAAGAUUAGGUCUAUUCAUUCUUUCUAACUAUUUUGUGUACCUUUUAAAAUUGAGGUUCAAAAGGAAGUUGUAAUGGUUUCAAAACAAUUGAGAUCAGGGAUCUCUAAAUGGGGCUUUGAGGCACCGGGAAACAUACCCUUACCCUAACCUGCAAAUGGGACUCUGAGAAUGUAAAUGCUUAGGUCAAGUUACCAACUAAAUAACAAAGGCUAAGCCCAGAUAUCAGUUCUAUAAUUUGAGGUGCCCCCACCAUUAUUUUCUCUUGAUCCUCAAGUUUCUUACUCUUUUUACUCAUUUCAAUAUUGUCCAGCUGUAGAUGAAUUCUAUUUUUAGAAGUUAGUGUGGUUACAUUUAAACCUAAUUUUCAAACUGACUUGCUUGAGAUCCAAAGCACAUUUUUAAGCGUCAGAGCUCUAGGAACAGAAAAUAGCAUCCCUGGGAUGACAGGAAGGAUGCCCUGUGCCUGGAGGAGGUCUCUCUCCAGGAUUCAGCACACCGUGGAGCUGUGGGAAGUGUGUUAUCUCUGUCAUGAGAGAGAAAGGAGUGGCUGGCUCAGCAAGAUUAGAGCCUCUCUCUGGAUUGUUCCUCAGAACCAGAAGAACUGUGUGGAGUGGCAGCAACUGGAGGAAGCAGAAUGUCCCCGAGCAAGAUUGUCAAGAGAAAAAAGUUACAUGUAUAAAAUCUACAGUAGAAUUGGAAGAUGGAUCUAAUGAGAAUAACACUAAGGAAACACCAUCCUUCAAAAACUAAAAGCUCCUUGAUGAGACAAGAAAAUGAAGUGUCCCAGAAGAGGAAAUGCAGUGAAGGAAGACAAGAUUUUCUUGAACAAUGGAUGCAUUUGGCGGACCAAAUCUCAAUAUCUUCAGAUCUCUAACAUUGGUUGGUACUACAUGGGGAUACAUUGGAAAUAAGGCAUCAAUUCUGGGAAAACAUUUUGCUCAGAAAACUGAAACUCACUCUUAAGUAGAUUAUCUCAAAAGCAAGGCUUUUGGAAAUCUCAUUGUGGUUAUAGAUGCAAAUUUAAAGCUAAUGUUUUAUCUACCAAAUAUAAAGCUCAUGUUUUAUCAUCAUUAGUCUGAUUCAUGUAUCUAUUCCUCAAAUACCCCAAACUUGGCAGGGUUGGAGAGGAACAUUAUUAACUGGAAAGAAAGAUGGGAAGCACAUGAGAGAAGAUCUUAAAUUACAAAUUAUAAUGACUGAGACAUUUUUAGAAGGUUUAUAAGACUAUUUGAG
rnacentral:lncRNA from 1 species